GACCUGUGCUGCAACAACCUGAAAAGUGUGGUGUAUUCUACCAGGGAGCCUUCCCAGGGUCAGACAUUCUUUUCCCCUACACCCAAAAGGGGUGAGCUGGCCAGGUCAAGAGACUGCUCUCCUCCCCAAGCUAGGGGAACCUUCUGGGACUCCAUCAACUGCCAAUGAGGGGAUAAUGGUCCCUCACUGCCCCAUCAGGAAAGGCUCGUGGGUGAUCGGGACCUUUGCUUGAAACCCAACUUACUGGCCAGGAACCUCCAGCUCUGGGACCAGGCGCCUUCCUCCCUCCCACUGUGCCAGGGGAGGGGAGACAAAAUCCCUCAAUGGCUGUCUAGCUCCAGGCAGAUCAGCUGCCACGGGGACUGCUGAGCAGGUGGGAAUUGGACUGUACCAUUGAAAUAGCUUGGGGUGUCGGUGGGCCGCCCCCGGGCCAGCACCAUGUUCCAGCUGGAGCUUCGAGCCUCGGCCUGGCUGCUCCAGGAGUGUACACCUGAGCUCAGGGUGUCCCGCGAGCUUUGAGAGGCCUUUGAUGGGUUCUGAAACAACAGGAUUGGGUACGGACUCAGGGCCCUGGGCUCCGGGAUCCAUCUCCGGCUUGGGUCUCAUUUGGGGAAAAGGGGCACUGCUCAUGCCCUCAGCUGGAGGAGGGUAAGGGUUGCCUCCAUGGGGGACCAAGGCCUGCCUCCCCAUUAUCUCUGGUGGCAAAACACAUUCCCUAAUCCCAGAAGGGUAGAUUCCCAUGGUUUCUCUGACUCUGUACCAUGACCACCUCCCCCAACCUAGUGAGGACCCCCACCAGAAGGAAGGGGUGACCCCCAUCACCCUCCCUUUACCCACUACUUGCACAGUGUCCAUUCAUUAGCUGGACGCAAAGCUACUUGCUCUGUGCCAGGGCCGGGAGAACCACACCCCUGGAGCCAUGGCUCCGGGGCCAUAACCGACUCACCUUCUCACUGUCAUCCGACAGGGAGAGGCUGUCGAUGCUGAGGCACGAGAGAAUUUGCUCCUGCUCCUCCAGAGAAAAUGGCUGGGACAGGCUGUUGAGGAAUAAUUCUGCAGGGAAAAGUGGAAGAUGGCUGUGAAAGACUGGGAGGAGGCUGGCUGUGUUUUCAGGGGUUCUUCCUGCAGUCGGUAGAAGCUGAGCUGCUGGGGAAGGGGCUGGAAGAAAGCCCACACCGCAGCUGCUGCAGUUCCUGCUCCGGGAAGGUUGCUUUCCGCUCUGGUGAGCUGGGGUUUCUGGCAGGGGCUGGCUCCAGGGAGGACAGAGGUAAGGGUUCCCACAUCCCAGACUCCUCCUUGCUCAAAGUCAAGGGAGGAGACUUGUUUGGCUCUGGGGGCUCUGGUGGGAGAGGAGGCUGGAGCUUAGGGGCUCUGCCUGUUGUCUCCUCAGCUGGCCGGGGCCCUGGGGCCCUUGGCGAAAGCUCUCUCGGCUGAGCAUGGAGGGUCUGGUGAUAAUUGGCUUGAUUUGGCGGUGGAUGUCUUGGUUCUUUAUAUUCUCCCCUCCAAGGGCUCUUCAGACCUCCCACUAGAAAACAGAGAGUACAAUGGUGAGGGGAAGCGUUCUGUGCACAGACAGCGGUCCAGGCAGGAGCAGCCUCUCCUGAGUGCAGAAGGGCUACAGGCAAACAAAGGGGAGGACACUGCCCCGGGCCACCAUGGGAGGUGGCUCCAGAGGGCAGCAUGGUGGUCUCCACAGGAGACUUCCUCAAUAAAAUGGUCCCAAUAUGACAGGGAUAGGACUGGAUUUCUGUCUUUGAUUCUGUUUUUCUUCUAGGUAUCAGUAGCAAAUUCAAAAACUACAGAAUCAGCUCCAGAGGACUUUGUUAACAAGAAAGAGAAGAUUGAAAACAGCCCUGGGGCUACACCAACUCAAGAGCUCCCAGGCAAAGUGGCAUCCUGGACCCACCAUCUCUCCUACCCCAUCCUCAGUCAGUACUUCCCCAGGCACCGUUUGUUCUGGCAUGGGGCGAGUUCAGCCCUGGGACCACCCUCAUCCUUAUAACUACCAGCUGUCUUUGGUGAGGUGCAAGAUCUCUCUGGUUUUCUUUAUUUCAUUUUCAUUCCUAUAAUCACAGCCUUUUUGUGCCCAUCCCUCAGGUGACAUUCUAUUAUGUUUGAUGUGUCAUUUUUGAUUUGGUUGUGUCCUUGCAAAAUGUGCGUUGUUUUAUUUAUCAAUUUUUUUUAUUUUUAUUUUUUUAAAGAGAUGAGGUCUCAUCAUGUUGCCCAGGCUGGACUCCAACUUCUGGGCUCAAGCGAUCCUUCCACCUCAAUCUUCUGAGUGGCUGGGACUACAGAUGUGCGCCACCAUACCUGGCUAUUGAUCAAUUUUUAGUUUACCCAACAGGCACUAUGUUCUGGGUCCCAUUCUGUGUCGGGUUCUCUCUUCACUCGGCACCAUGGCUUUAGGAUCCAUCCAUGCUGCUCUGUGAACACCGAGUUGCUUUAACUGCUUGGUGCUCCACGCGGCAUCCCCUUUUGUGUCUCUGUCCUCCCAGUGAGGGACCCCAUCGUACCCUACUCCCCUCCCACAAAGGAAGCUAUAGUGCGCGUCCUCAGGCAUGUCCCCAUAUGGAUCUGCUGGCAUUCCUUUGUCAGUGCACCCAGGGGUAGAAGUCCUUGGUCUCGGUCUGCAGACGUCUGCCUGAGUGCAGCCAGGUGCCCCCCAGAGUGGGUAGCCUUGUCCACAUGCCCAUCAGCAGCACCUGAGGGGUCCCAACAGCCCUACAUCCCACCAACUUUCUGCUUUUUUCCAGUCAAAUGGCUCUUGAGUGUUACCUGGCUUUAUUUAUUUAUUUAUUUUUUGAGUCAGGGUCUCUGUUGCCCAGGCUGGAGUGCAGUGGUACAAUCAUGGCUCACUGCAGCCUCGACCUUCCAGGCUCAAACAAUCCUCUCACCUCCUGAGUAGCUAGGACUACACGCAUGUGCCACCAUGCCUGGCUAAUUUUUAAAUUUUUUUUGCAGAGAAAGGGUCUUGCUAUGUUGCCCAGGCUGAUCUUGAACUCCUGGCCUCAAGCGAUCCUCCUGCCCCAGCCUCCCAAAGUGCUGGGAUUACAGGUGUGAGCCACUGCUCCCGGCCUGUCUUUAUUUUGUAUUCUUGGAUUCCUAGUGAGUUUGAGCCCCCUCUAUACAUCAUAACCCUUGUGAUACUAGUAAACAUAUAUUUUAUCUUUAACCCCAUUUCUGGCACAGAACUCCUAAAAGCCUUACUCUCCAAAAUGAUCUCUUUCUGUGUACUAAUGGAUUGACUGAAGGCUGGCAGCCCCUAGGUAGCUUCAGGAUGGGGGCUGGUCAUCAGAGAGACAUAGGCAGGAUUAGAGGGUUGGGACUUUCAUCCCAUCAUCCCACGUACUGGGAGGGAAGGGGGCUAAAGGUUAAGCUGUUCGCCAAUGGCCAGUGAUUUAUCCAAUCAUGCCUACGUAAUGAAGCCUACACAAAAACCCAAGAAGACCGGCUUCAGAGAACUUCUGGUAGCUGGGCACAUGGAGGUUCCUGGAGGGUGCCAAGCCCUGGAAGCUCUGUGCUCCCUCCCACACACCUUGCCCUAUGCAUCUCUUCAUUUGUAUCCUUUGUAAUAUCCUUUCUAAUAAACUGGUAAAUGUAA